rnacentral:tRNA from 1 species
UAUUUACAUUAUUAUAAUAUUACAAAUGCUAGUGUAGCUUAAUGUAAAGCAUAACACUGAAGAUGUUAAAAUGAACCCUACAA